UCCUGGUUAGCUCAGUUGCUAGAGUACUCCACUCGAUAUGGAGGGGUACCUGGUCCGACACCGGGACCAGGUG
rnacentral:tRNA from 1 species